GGUGGCUCAGUGGUAGAGCGCUUGCCUGGUGGCAUGCAUGAGGUCCUGGGUUCAAUUCCUCAGCACCA
rnacentral:tRNA from 1 species